GGGGUGGGGCCAGAGGGGCAUUGGUCGGCCCCAGCUGAAGUCUGAUUGGCCCCCGAAGUUCCCCCGUCCUGUCAAUCAUCUCUUACUACGUCAGAGCACUCCAUCAGCUGACAGUUUGUUUGAAAUUCAAGUUGCUUAACUAUUUCUUUCUAUUACAUCUGGUAAUGGCAGGUUUACUGUAUAAGCAAUGCGUGUUUAUCAUCGUUGCUUCAAUGCAGGAAAAAGCGAGUGAGGCAUAUCUGAAGUUGGUGCGGGUGCUACGAGAGAGCCAAGAGACUACUGUCGGAUACAUCAAGUUCCCUCUGACUCCCAGUUGGCCCCAUUCUAUGCCUCAAAGUUGUUCGCUGUCUGUGCAUGCUGUGCUGAAGCAAGAUUCCUCCAUCCUCACCAUAAUCACAACACAAGCAUCUCCCUUUAAUUCUAUACUUCAAACAGAGCCUUCAGACAGCAUCACUGAUUUACAAAUUAGUUACAAUCACUGGUUUCACAUUGUUUUAUCAGGUAUUUUAAGAAGUCCCCUACAAUGUGGAGAACACGUGUACAACCUGUAACUUGUUCAGUUCAUUCUAAACCAACUUAUUCACCUCCCACAGUUAAAAUACAAGAGUUGGUGACAUAUCAGUUAAAAUCUCAAAUUAAGGUUAAGACUUUCUUAAAGACACAUCAAGAAAAUCUAUACUAUUUUGGUCACCAUCCAGGUUCUGUGCUUACAGGUAUUGAAAUGCUUAAUAAGGGGUGGGAAAUUCUUAAAAUAUAUCAUGGGGAAGUUGAAAUUUGGAAUACUUGAAUAGUUCCACUCAGAUUUAUUUUUUUGAAGAAAUUAAGGUGUCAGCAUCCGACCAGUUCUGUGUUAGGCUCUGAUGAUGAUAAGGGAAACACUUUCCAAACUUUGUUUACAUUAACUCAGAACACUCUGUUUUCAGGCUGCAAGGUUUUUAUUCCUCAUCCAGUUCGUGUCUCUACUGGCAUCGUGUGGGCAGGACAUGCUAUCUCAGCCUGUGAAACUUGUGCCUUGCUACACACAGAUGUUCUCUCAUUUAAUGUCACCACAUGCCAUAUGGUUACACGAGCAGUCACCACUCAAUGUUGUAUCCCAGGUUUCACAAUUUGUAACCAAACAUACCUUCCUCCUCAUAGGGUCACUGAUAUUAUUACUCUAUUUGCAUUUCUGUGGUGUGUAGAAAACCAUGAUUUUAUGCGGCUCCACCAUCUCUCUCUCAUCCUUCUCGGUCUCGAAUGCAAAUAAAGUUCACAGCUCUCUCAAUUGAGGAUCGUAUCUCUGAACCUGGUCCUUGGAUACACUGGUUAUCAAUCAAUCAAUGAAUACUGUCGUGUUCCAGCCCCUUUGGGUACUUAUUGGCUAUGUGGUAGCACUACCUAUAGUUAAUUGCUUGCCAGGUUCAACAGUCGAUGUUUGUUGAUUUAUCUUCUUCCUGCCAUGUGACCCCAAACUCAUCUCCAGCCCCAAGUAACCUGAUCUGUGUCUACAACUGUAAAACAUGCUCCUCAUAUCAUUGCCCUCCCACCGAUACCUCACACAUACUUUUAGCUGUUCCAAAUUUUUGUGGUCUUGUAAACAGUAAUAAGGUCGAGUGUAUCUGGUAAAAAAUGGUGAGUGUUAUACAUUUGUAGGUCGUUUAGGUUAUAGUCUGCCUACUAAUGCUAAUCUUUAUUCAAAUGGCACUUUAGAUCUCAUACCCACUAAUAGAGGAUAUCAAUCUUUCAUUGAUACCACAAAGAGACUUCAAGACAUCACAUUUUUUGCAGAUAUCGAUGCCACAUUUACCUUCAGUGUUAAUGGAGUAAUGUGUUCAGUGGGUUAUCAAAUCCAUACCCGUCAUUAUGACAAGAAACGUCCCCUUACAAUCUCGCAGUCAUCACUAACUGAUCCAAGAUUUGGAGCAGAUUUCUAGGUGCCCUUUUUCCUAAUUAUGGUGUUAUGAUUAGCCUUGAUCAAAUUCGUAUGUUAUCUCAUGAUGUCGAGAAAUUAGCUAGUGAUUCUGCACAAUCCUUAGGCAUCAUAUCCAACACAUUGCAAUCACAUCAGAUGAUGAUUUUGCACAAUCGGGUUGCUUUAGAUUAUAUCUUGGCACAAAAAGGAGUUACCCGUGCAGUGGUAGGUCCUGAGUGCUGUACGGAUGUGUCUGACCCUACUCUUAAUUUGAGGCAAUACAUUAUUGACCUAGGUGAGUUACGUGAUUGUGUUAUGUUAUAAUGUGUAUAAUGUCUACUGAUCAAGUUAACAGUGUUUGAUAAGGUGCCUGGCUAGGCUUCUGGUGGUGAUAUGGCUUGGAAAUUCUACUGGGUUUCCUGAUGUUCUUUGUCACCCUCCUGUUAAUUUAUGUCCUGUUUUGCUGUUGCUGCCUAUGUGUCUCUAAGAGCAUGAUCCAUGCCCAAGUAGCGGAAGCCACAGUUGUGUUUAAUGUCUACAUUUAAUCUGAUCUUAUGUUUAAUCUAACAUGCUUGGUAUGCAGAUAAAUGGGUGUGACCUAUCCUCCUUUUAGGAUCUGUAGAUGUAAAAUCACCUUGCCAGUGGUUACAGUACUUUUAAAAGGUAUAGUAGUAUAGUGUAAAAGGGUUAAGCUUGCUUUAAUGGAUGAUUUUAGUGUCAUCCAAAGAGGGGAAUUGUGAAAUAUUUUUCCUUAUUUUCCAUGAUUAUGAUUCAAUGAUUUAAGAUCAGAUCAGUGUGAUUUUUUUUUUUUUUUUUUUUUUUUUUUUUUUUUUGCUUACCCAUGGUCUCAUUAUGUUUUUGGGUUUCUGUCCUUGAUUUUGUCAAGGUGGUAUGUUUUUCUCUCAUGUUUUUCUCUUAUGUUAUUUUAACUAGCUUUGGGUAUGUUGCUUGCAUGUACAUAUUUACAUUUAUUCAUUUAGCAGACACUUUUAUCCAAAGUGACUUACAAAUAAGGAAAAAGUGUAAAAGCCAACUGUAUCUAAGUUAUGUUUAGACUUAAGAUUAAGACUACAAAAUGCUAUAGUGUCCAGGGUGUCUCUGCGCUUAAUAAACUGUCUCUUUGAUUAGA